AUUGAACGCUGGCGGCAUGCUUUACACAUGCAAGUCGGACGAGUGGCGAACGGGUGAGUAAUAUAUCGGACCGUACCCAGUAAUGGGGGAUAACUAAUCGAAAGAUUCGCUCAUACCGCAUAUUAUUCGAGCGGCCGAUAUCUGAUUAGCUAGUUGGUGGGGUAAAGGCUUACCAAGGCGACGAUCAGUAGCGGGUCUGAGAGGAUGAGCCGCCACACUGGGACUGAGACACGGCCCAGACUCAUACGGGAGGCAGCAGUGGGGAAUUUUGGACAAUGGGCGCAAGCCUGAUCCAGCCAUGCCGCGUGUGUGAAGAAGGCCUUCGGGUUGUAAAGGACUUUUGGCAGGGAGGCGGUACCUGCAGAAUAAGCACCGGCUAACUACGUGCCAGCAGCCGCGGUAAUAC
rnacentral:rRNA from 1 species